rnacentral:rRNA from 1 species
UGGGGAAUAUUGCACAAUGGGCGAAAGCCUGAUGCAGCAACGCCGCGUGAGUGAUGAAGGCCUUCGGGUUGUAAAGCUCUGUCUUUUGGGACGAUAAUGACGGUACCAAAGGAGGAAGCCACGGCUAACUACGUGCCAGCAGCCGCGGUAAUACGUAGGUGGCAAGCGUUGUCCGGAUUUACUGGGCGUAAAGGAUGCGUAGGCGGAUUUUUAAGUGAGAUGUGAAAUACCCGGGCUUAACUUGGGUGCUGCAUUUCAAACUGGGAAUCUAGAGUGCGGGAGAGGAGAAUGGAAUUCCUAGUGUAGCGGUGAAAUACGUAGAGAUUAGGAAGAACACCAGUGGCGAAGGCGAUUCUCUGGACCGUAACUGACGCUGAGGCAUGAAAGCGUGGGUAGCAAACAGGAUUAGAUACCCUGGUAGUCCACGCCGUAAACGAUGAGUACUAGGUGUAGGAGGUAUCGACCCCUUCUGUGCCGCAGUUAACACAAUAAGUACUCCGCCUGGGAAGUACGAUCGCAAGAUUAAAACUUAAAUGAAUUGACGGGGUCAUAGCUGUUUCCU